rnacentral:misc_RNA from 1 species
GGAUAGAGGUUUAUAAUAUUGUAUAGGAGUUAGUGAUUAAAAUUAUAUUAAAGAAAAAGAAAUGUAGGAUGGUAAAGUGGUUGUUUGAGGAGGUUUUAUAAAUAGUUGAGAAAGAAGAGAAGUGAAGGGUAAAGGAGAAAAGGAAAGAUAUAUUUAAUUGAAUGUAGAGUUUUAGAGAAUAGUAAGGAACGAUAAGAAAUUUUUUAUAAAUGAAUAGUG